rnacentral:rRNA from 1 species
GAUGAAUGCUGGCGGCGUGCCUUAGGUAUGCAAGUCGAGCGAGCCCGCAAGGGCUAGCGGCGGACGGGUGAGUAAUGUAUCGGAACGUGCCCUAAAGUGGGGGAUACCCAGCCGAAAGGUUGGUUAAUACCGCAUGUGACCUCCGGGUCAAAGCAGCAAUGCGCUUUAGGAUCGGCCGAUAUCCCAUCAGGUAGUUGGUAGAGUAAUAGCCUACCAAGCCGACGACGGGUAGCUGGUCUGAGAGGAUGGUCAGCCACAAGGGAACUGAGACACGGUC